rnacentral:tRNA from 1 species
UUCUUAAUUUGAUAAACAAUCUAUCUGGUUGGAAGUCAGGCGUACUAAAUAUACUAAUUAAGA